CCAAACGAAAACCCUACAUAAAUAGCAAAAGUCAUUAAAAUGGACGAAAGUUUAUAAAAAUUUCGAAAAUCUGCAAAAAAGUCGGCUUAAUUGCAAAGUCUGCUAACAAACGAAAUUGCAAAUUUACAUACCAAUCUGCAAACCUGGCAUCAGUGGUUCUGACGCUCAUUAUUUCGCUAUCCUGCGACGAUUCCGUCGCAUUCUAUGUCCAGCUGAAAACCACUAUAUAGAAAAAAUAGAACGGCAAUGUAUACCAGUUUUAAAUUUGACAGUAGAACCGACGACACGACCAGACACUCCGAAGCAAAAUUGGAAUAAAAAGUGUUCGUGAGCGAUUUACCGCCAGUUAUCGAAUAUUGAAAGACCCCUAGGUAAUAAUAAAAAUAUAUUUUACAAGCAUCACUGCUGUGGUUGCUACGAAAUAGUCGCCAUGCACGGCAUAAUAAACAAACAGGAAUGUACCAGUUAUUAUGGAGAUAACACUAUGAGGAUGUGAUGGUGAUCUAUCAAAAUGGAACAUAUCCGCCUAUAUUUACCACUGAAUUUUUCUGAAACAUUUUCUACGUAUCUUUCAACAAUAUUUGAAUGAUAGGAUAAUGUCCCUGUCAAGCCGCCCACUGACUGUCUCUGCUUCUACAGGCGUUUAAAAAGAGAUUCAUUAUAAGAAUCAAGCACCAUCUGCCUAAUGAUAAUCGGUAGCAAAACAAAUUUUCUCACGACCAACAAAGCACGCUCAAGAACUAUUUACUUACAACACGACUUGCUGUAAUACGAGCACAAUAAAUAUAGAUUUCAUCAUU